GAUGAACGCUGGCGGCGUGCCUAAUACAUGCCAGUCGAGCGAACAGACGAGGAGCUUGCUCCUUCGACGUUAGCGGCGGACGGGUGAGUAACACGUAGGUAACCUACCUAUAAGACUGGGAUAACUUCGGGAAACCGGAGCUAAUACCGGAUAAUAUUUCGAACCGCAUGGUUCGAUAGUGAAAGAUGGCUUUGCUAUCACUUAUAGAUGGACCUGCGCCGUAUUAGCUAGUUGGUAAGGUAACGGCUUACCAAGGCAACGAUACGUAGCCGACCUGAGAGGGUGAUCAGCCACACUGGAACUGAGACACGGUCCAGACUCCUACGGGAGGCAGCAGUAGGGAAUCUUCCGCAAUGGGCGAAAGCCUGACGGAGCAACGCCGCGUGAGUGAUGAAGGUCUUCGGAUCGUAAAACUCUGUUAUUAGGGAAGAACAAACGUGUAAGUAACUGUGCACGUCUUGACGGUACCUAAUCAGAAAGCCACGGCUAACUACGUG
rnacentral:rRNA from 1 species